CACACCCACCCCCUCUCUCCUCUCUCUCUCGUCGAGAAGAAAGAAAGGAAGCGAAAGCUCUAGUCUCGCCACCUGCACACAGACCGCUCGUGAGGCGAGAGAGAGGCCGAGGCCACCAAACCAAAAAGGAAAAGAAUUUUUUUCUUGGAGAAGAACACCGUACGCAUAAGCAUCGAGGAGGGAGGCGGGGGCAUACAGGAGAGGGUGGAAGGGAAACCUAGUCAAACAGAGACGGAUCUGCCCUCCGCCGCCGACGCCGACGCCGACAACGAUCGCCUGGUACGGAGAUCCCCGCCAACUCACGACUCUUCCUGCCUGCCUGCUACGAACCCUAGGACCCGCCGUCACGCGGUUUCGAUACGAAUUGAACGCGGCGGCGGUCGAAUGACGAAACCCUAGGAUGGGAUGGAUGCGCGUGGGUGGGAAGAGCCCUUUUUUUCCUUCCAUCUCUCUCCAAGUUAGGCAGGCGGGGCAUGGGCUGCUGCCUAAUUCGGACAUUAACUGUGCGAUGUGGGUUUGCCGAAUCUGGAAACGGAAUGGGGAUCAGGGUACGGGGGAUUCGCCAAAUCUAGCGACGGCUUCCAAGGGACGUUUAUGGAUUCUGGAAAUUUUUCCACGGGAUUUCCUGAUUUAAGACUGGGCGAUAAAUACCCUAUCCUGGUAGAUCGAGCAAACAGAAGCAGGCUAUGCCAUGCUAGUGGUAGCAAUGAAUGGAACAGGGUACAUGAUCUUUAUUUGUGCUGCCGUAUAUUAACUUUUCUCUUGCUAAUUGAUUUCUAGCACUCGACAUAGGGGUUUGGAGGUACAUUGUUUACCCCCAUCAUUAGUUGCUUUUGCUUGUUCAGUUUUUAGUAGUUCAUCAUCUGUUUAGUCAAAUAGAGGACACGUGUUAGAUUCAUUUGCUUUUUGUUUGAAUAGUGGAUUGUUCAUCUAAUUUGGACAGUUGCUAUGUUGUAGUUAAUUGUCAACCUAGUUUCUGACUUUUUGGUGAGUAGAAUUGGCAGAUUUGUUACACUGCUACUGGAACAUCAUGUUUUGUUGGUUGUCAGUUAGAACCCAUUGUUUUUUAGAUGACAUGUAUGAUUUUGUACUGAUUUGGGUGGGAUUUUGUUGUAUGCGUACUUCUUCUGUUGUAACAUUUAAUUCAGAGUAUAACGGCAUCUACAACGUACAACGCCAGGUGCUAGAGGCUGGUGCUAGGAUUGAUUUCCUGCCUGUUUAGUGGUUGUGCUGUUAAAUCCUGGUGUUCGACGUAGCAUCGACGCAAAAGCAUGCGCCAAGCGCUUGGCUCGUUUCUUUCCCGCACGAAGUGCCUAGUUGCGUAAUUAGCGCAUAUAAAUCAGUGUCCGCCGUUGAAAGGUAAGGCGGUGCCUUUUAAAGUUUAUGAUAUUUAUUUAUUCCCCAUAAGCGUCUGUCCAGACGUCUAGCAUUGUAGAUGCUGUAAGUGAAUUGUAGUUGCGCCUUGGUCAAUUUUGUAAUAAAGGGAUAUUUUUAUAGUCUGUAAAUUAAAUUCCUCCUUGGGUAGCUUUUAAUAAUAGUUCAUACUUAACCUUCUGACUUCAUUGGAAGCACAUAUCCUCUAUUCUGUUUGAAGUGGACUUGAAUAUCAAGUUUGAUAUUCCUGUAACAUUGUAGUAGUCAUCAAGCUAUUUAUUUCAGAUAGAAGGUUUGGAGAGUCAUUUGUGCUACUGGUAAACUGUUAGGAGUUGAAUAGAUUUUUUGGAAUUGUUGGAUGUGAUCAGCUGAAGGCACUCCUGUUGUAAAUAGCUUUAAUUUAGGGUUGUCUUUAAAUCAUUGCUGUCCAAAGGGGUCAUUUACCAUUUAUAGGCAUGUGCUUAUUUUAGUUGAUGUUUUAUUCAGACUAGCUCUAGAUCAUUUUCCCAUUUGGAACUUUUGGUCAAGUUUGUAGACCUCCACUUUAGUGAUGAUAUAAUUCGGAGUAGCUGUGAAUCAAUAUUGGUGUUUAUUCAUCGGUUGUCUAACUGGGUGUGUGCCUUUUGGUUUGAGUGGCAUGAAGAGAACAUUCGUUGGUUGUAGCGAUUGCUUUUUUUUUUUUGAAAGAUAGCGUGUUUGUCCAUCGGAGCCAACUUGCCAUUUCUGCAAAUCUAAGAGAAGCCCAUCACUAAUAAAACAUUUGAGCGCUCAAUGGAUAAAAUGCCGAAUCUUCAUAGAGUAAUCAAGCCAGGGUUGGAGAAGAAGCGGAAUAUAAAAAGAGGAGCAGAGAGGCAUGGGUAAGUAGAGAAGCAGGGGCAUGGUAAGAAGCAUGGAUUUUAAGUCGCGCGACUAGUCGAUGAGUUGCAAAAAAAUGUCGACUCGACUUAGUGUCGACUCGAGUUGCGAGUCGCGACUAGUCGCAACUGCCGGCUCGACUUUUUCCGAGUCGCAACCCCAGAGCGACUCGGAUGAGUCAGAGCGACUCAUCCGAGUCGCGACUCGAAAACUAUGGUAAGAAGAAGAACAGGGCUUGGGGUGGUGGUGGCUCGGAAGCAGAAGGUGGAUGAGAAUAAGAGGAACUGAGGAAUAAUAUGACUGCGAGAGGGUGGAGGAGAAGCAUAGGUAGGAGGCAGUGAUUCCUGAGGCUGAAACAAUUGUAGGUGGUGGUGAAGCAGGAGGGAGGAGAUGGUGGCGGAUUAUAGGAGCUUACCCGCAGUUUAGAAUACAGUCGUAAUUUGGGAUUAGGGUUGAGAUUAUUACUGGAUUAGGCCCUAGGGCUUAUGCGAAGUCAGUGAGACCUCUUGUAGUGCAUAGAUACUUUAGAUGAGGUGCUAAGUGCAUGAAAGGGCUUAGCAACUAAACUCUCCAAUGCAUAGGUGCUUUGUUUCUUGUUGCUAAGCUCUCUUCAUUUAAUGAGUUGUAGACUGUAAGUUGUGUUUUCAUCUAGGUGCAUGCACCUAGCAUCGUUCCUUCGUGGGCUCAUCAAACUCCUCUCUCCUCUUAAUCACCUUGCCACAUCAGAUUUUUUGCAUACUUGGGCAGCCUUUGCCCCUGUACAAGGUGGAGUAUUGGAAGGGCCUCGAAGUUUUUAGGCUCAUUUAUUGAGCUAUACUCUCUCCCUCUUCUACAUCCAUUAAUGUAUCCUGUGUUUGAUAGGGGACCCCUUUUUAGUUUGGAAGAAAUUGAUACUAGUCUUGCUACAAGCUUUAAUUAUUUUUUGUCUGUAGCAAUAUGUUAAAUAUUGCUGUACUUCAUGUUGAUAGUAUAGAUGCCUUGUCCCAAACAUAAUGGUGUGUAUGACAAUGUUUAGCUUUAGGUAGUUAUGUAAACCUUUUCAACGAGUGCAGCCCACUCUUUUCUGCUUGAUAUGUUCCACAUACUUAUUUACGUUGUCUGUAAAGGGUCUGUCUGGAUGUGGAGAUCCUGGAUUCCUAGAAUCCAAUUUCUUGAGAUGGAUAUGAAGUGGGCAACAAGAGGACGAAGGGGGCUGGGUCUGAACAUGACAGGAAUGCAGCGAAGAAUCGUAUUCAGGUCGCAUAACCUGAUCAAGAUUUGUCUUUUCUGUAGUACCAUACAAUGAGGGUUCUGCUGUAACUGUUCACUUCCUUGUUCAGCUCUGCUUCUGCCUCUUGUUGACGGGCUAUGUCAGUAAAUGAAAUGAAGCAUCCAGGCACCCCUUGAACACCCUGUUUAUGAUUGUAUAUUACUAACAUACUACGCUGGUUGUUGCAG
rnacentral:lncRNA from 1 species